CAAAUCUGCCCAAGUUUUGAUCAUGGCUAUUUUCAUAGCCUCCGCAAUCUCCCUCAACUUUGUAGCCAUAAAACCCCUCACUACAAUCAUAGUCUCCCAUGUUGUAGUCACAAUAAUCCCCGGCUAUCGAAGACAUGUUCUCCUUAUAUUACCUUUUAAACCUACAAAAUGAAAAAACAAUAUUAGUAGUACAAGAUCCUCACCAACACUCGUAUUCACUCACUUUUGUGAUCCCCAUAAUUUGGAGCGGCGAAUAUUGAAAUUUGCUUAUAUUCUGGUAGUCAUAAGAUGUCAAUUCUACUUGGCGGCCGGAAUAGAUUCUUGUUUGAUCUACUCAAGACACAACAAAAAAUCUACUUACGAACUUGAAACAAAGAAGUUACGACGAGUUAAAAAAUAAGAAAAGCACAUAAAUAACGAAGACACGAAAGAAACGGACUCAACAACUAAUCUACAACUAAUUAGGUGAUUACUAGUUCCUAAUUAGUAU
rnacentral:lncRNA from 1 species